AUUAUGUGAUAAAUUCGAAGAACAAGUUGUAUUUGAGAAGAUUAUUUUCUUCAACAAUAUAAAUGUUCAAUAUUCAAAAUACGGUCAAGAUGUCGGAAAGUGCGGAUGUCGUGGCAGUCGAGCUGAAUAAAUUACGGAAAAAUGAACUCGUAGAUUUUAUAUAGUGCUACAUUACCUGAAUAUGUGACCAAUGGAAUAUUAAUUAACUUUGUUGAAGAAUUCAGGAAGAAAAUUCAACUAAAUGAAAUUUUAAACAAACAAGGAAAACAACAACAAGAAAAUCCAAGAAGUGCAGAGAAAACAGAUAAUUUAAUUUUGCAACUUAAAUAUAUAAAAGAGACAAGACAUAAAAACAACAUCUUGAAACAAAAUAAUGGUUUAUUACUGGAAAAAGUACAAUAUAUGGAAGGAAAAAGUCAAAAAUCAGCAAAAACGCAAGUAAACAUUCAGAAAAAAGUAUCACCAAUUCUAAUUCACAAUGACAGAACUGAAAAAGCCCAAGAAAAUGAUAAAGAAACCUCUUCCUAUGCUAAGGCUACUUCUGCUACUGUUCAGAAGAUGGCAGCACCAGCAAACCUCAAAUCACCCAGACCACCGAUGAUAUGUCAUUCUUGGACGAUAAACAAACAACAAUGGGUUAUGGAAAGGAAAACAUUGCUAAAAUCACAAAGCACCGAAAUACAGGACGAAACCAAGAAGAGGAUUUCGUGGAAGUCAAUCGUGGUAGGAAAAGACGAUUCAAAAACCCUGAAAAGAAUAUUGGAACUGGACAACAAAAUAAAGGAAUUUCUGGACAAGAAAGGAAAGUUUGGCUAUACAUAUACAGAGUAAACAGAAAUACAACUACCAAUAUGAUCGAAGAUUAUAUAUUAACGAAAGAAGGAUUUGAUAAACAAACAAUUAUGGUAAAAGAAAUUCCAUCUGAAGAAAACAGCCUGAAGAGAUUUGUGUUAACAGCUCCAAUAGCUAAAAAAGAUGAGAUGUACAAACCAGAAUUUUGGCCCUCAGGUGUUGGUAUAAAAAGAUUUAGUUUUUCCAAACACAAAGAAUUCACACAGCAAGGUAAGGAUUUUUUUAUAACAAAAGAAACACAACUGUCAGAACUUCACACCCCAACCAAAAAUACAAAGACUAACGAUAAAAAAGUUGAUAAGAAACAAAACUUAACAUUGACACAUCUAAAUAUCCAAUCGUUAUCAACAUCCCUAAAUGGACUGGAAAUUUUUGUCAAUGAAAAUAAAAUAGAUUUCCUUGCAUUAACUGAAAACUGGCAGUCAUAUGAACAACUAAUGGCUUAUAAAUUAAAUGGCUUCAAUCUCAUAACAAGUUUCUGCAGAGAAAUAAAUAGGCAUGGAGGAUGUGCAAUAUAUGUCAGAGAACAACUACAUAACAAAUGCAAAAAAAGAAAAGAAAUGGACAAAUUCAAUGUCCCUCGUGUGAUCGAAUGCACAGCUCUAGAAUAUGAAGGAAACAAUCAUAUAAAAUUAAUUAUCAUAUGCAUUUAUCGACCAAACACACAUCCCUUUGAAAAUGUAGAUAUUUUCUUUGAGAAAAUGAACUUAAUACUAAAGACACUUACUAUCAGAACAAAAAACAUCAAAUUCAUGAUCACUGGUGAUUUUAAUAUAGACAUGUUAAAUCAACAAGAUAAGAACACUCAAACUAUGACGUCAAUACUAGAGAUGUACAAUCUAAAACCCUUAGUAAUCAAACCCACAAGAAUAACACCUACUUCUAAAACUUGCAUAGACAAUAUUUUUUCGAAUAUCGAAGAUGAAACUGUAACAAUACUACAACCUCAUCUUUCAGAUCAUCUUGCCAUAACCUGCAGAUUCAACAUGAUAGAAGAUGUAACAACUAAAUACAAAAUUAUAACAAAACAUAAUGUGAACGAACAAUCACUUGAAAAAUUUGGCAUAGAACUAAGUACUGUUGACUGGUCGGAAUUAUAUCAAAUUACUGAUAAUGAGGUGGAUGGUAAGUGGAGGUUUUUUUCCACAAUUUACAACAACCUUUUUGAAAAGCAUUUUCCACACAUCAAUAUAAAAAUAAGCUCAUCACAAAAAAUCCCAUAUAAAAAUGAUAAGAAAAUCCAAGCAAUAAAAAUGAAUUUAGAUAUAUUAUAACAGCAUCUAGAACAAAACCAGAACUAAUGAACACUUAUAAAAAAGUUAAGAAGGAAUAUGACAACAAAAUAAAGGAAUACAAGCAAAAAUACCUUUCAGACAAAAUUAAUUUCUAAGACAACAAAACAACAACUACAUGGCAAAUAAUAAUAAUAAUAAAGUUUAUUCAUGAUUCAAUACAGUAACAUUAAUAAACAUGAUUACCACAGAGGUAAUAUCUUAUUGCUAAAAAAAUUACCUGUGCGUGGUGCCUACAUUCAUUCGAACUCAAAACUUAUUCUAAUUUACAUGAGCAAUUAUUAUUUACAUAAAUUAAAUAUUUGUUUUUCUUUUGUAGUCUGUGUAACCAUUUUCUAUCUGUGGUUUCAAGUUCUUUCUUUGAUAGGUUUCAGAUCCUUAAAUAGUGAAAAUAGUGUCGUCAUCGUGUUUUAGUCCCAAUCGGGAUCUCUACAUCAUUCACAGUUAUAUUCUCCAGUGAGGGAAGUCCAGAGCUAUAUGAGGAGAAUGGCAUAUAUUUUGUUUUGUCCAGGUUUAAGGCAUCCCAGGACUCAGCAUGGUAUUGGACAACAGUAUCGUCUGCAAAGCUAAUGAUGUUUCCUUCAUUUUUUUGAUGGAAGAGGCUAUUCAUAUAUAAUAUAAAUAAAACAGGCCCAAGAACUGUGCCCUGGGGUACUCCGUAAGAAACUAUGUCUUCAUGACUCCUAAUUCCAUUUAUUUCUGUUACAUGCUUACGAUCUUUCAGAUAACUCCCUAGAAGUUGAUGUAUCCUUCCCCUGAAUCCAUAAUUUUCUAGCUUUCUCAGCAAUCUUUCAUGACAAACCGUAUCAAAUGCCUUUGAUAGGUCGAGAAAUACACAUAAAAAUGGCACCGCUUCAUCCAAGAAUUUAUAGAUGUUCUUCGUCAAUUCUCCUAUAGCAUCCUCAGUUGAUCUACCCUGUCUGAACCCAAACUGUCGCUCCGAUAUAAUCUUAUAUCUUUCCAGGAAUCUCACAAUUCUGACCUUGAGAAUCUUUUCUAUGAUUUUGGCUAGGUUCGAUAUGAGCGAGAUUGGUCGAUAAUUGCUGACUUGGAACUUAUCUCCUCUUUUGUAUAGUGGUUUAACGACUGCUAAUUUUAGUAUGUUUGGAAAACAUCCAGUUUCGAAACAAUGGUUGACUAAAUAUGCCAAGGGAUGGGAGAUCUCUUUUUUUAUAUUUUUUAGUGUCUCUGCCUUGAGCCCAUCAUGCCCCGGUGCUUUCCGUGGUUUCAAUUCAUCAAUUGCUUUCUCUAUCUCACUGGGUGUUGUUUGUUCUGAAUAAAAUGUUUUUGUUUGAUGAACAUCUUCCUCAACAUAAUCAACCGGUGCAUUUAAUUGAGUUGCGUAUAUUUCUCCGAUAGUAUUGAAGUAUUUAUUGAAUAUAUUGGCAAUUUUUUCUUCAUUUUCAAUGAUAUUUCCAUCUAGAUUUUUUAUAUUAAUUCUUUCUUUUUUUCCAGUUUAGAAGCAUUACAUAUUUCCUUCAGAAAGUCCCACAUGCCCUUGGACUCCGACUGAUUCUUUUUUUUAAAUUUUUCCAAGUA